rnacentral:rRNA from 1 species
AGAGUUUGAUCAUGGCUCAGAUUGAACGCUGGCGGCGUGCCUAACACAUGCAAGUCGAGCGGUAACAGGUGUAGCAAUACAUGCUGACGAGCGGCGAACGGGUGAGUAAUGCUUCGGAAUCUACCUUAUGGUGGGGAAUAACUAGCCGAAAGGUUAGCUAAUACCGCAUACGUCCUACGGGAGAAAGCAGGGGAUCGUAAGACCUUGCGCCAAAAGAUGAGCCGAAGUCGGAUUAGCUAGUUGGUAGGGUAACGGCCUACCAAGGCGACGAUCCGUAGCCGGUCUGAGAGGACGACCAGCCACACUGGGACUGAGACACGGCCCAGACUCCUACGGGAGGCAGCAGUGGGGAAUAUUGGACAAUGGGGGAAACCCUGAUCCAGCGACGCCGCGUGUGUGAAGAAGGCCUGCGGGUUGUAAAGCACUUUUAGUGGGGAUGAAAUGUGCAGGGUUAAUACCUCUGCAUUUUGACCUAACCCACAGAAAAAGCACCGGCUAACUCUGUGCCAGCAGCCGCGGUAAUACAGAGGGUGCAAGCGUUAAUCGGAAUUACUGGGCGUAAAGCGUGCGUAGACGGUUACAUAAGUCGGGUGUGAAAGCCCCGGGCUCAACCUGGGAAUUGCAUUCGAGACUGCGUAGCUAGGGUGCGGAAGAGGGAAGCGGAAUUUCCGGUGUAGCGGUGAAAUGCGUAGAUAUCGGAAGGAACACCAGUGGCGAAAGCGGCUUCCUGGUCCAGCACCGACGUUCAGGCACGAAAGCGUGGGGAGCAAACAGGAUUAGAUACCCUAGUAGUCC